GUGUUUCCUCCCACCGGCCCGACCUCUUGUUCACCCCUCAUUCCUUCCUUCCUACAUGUGCGCCAGGAGCAAACGCUCCCUGAAACCCACCUGGGCCAGCCCUCUGUUGGGCGUGAGGAAUCAAGGGUGCCUUUGACCUGGUCCUGCCCAGAAGGAGUGGGCACGCGGGCAGUCGGCAUAAAGAGGGGACCCUCCUGGAAUAGGGGGCCUCUGAGCUGGGCCUUGGUGAAUAAUGGCCGGAAGAGCAUUUCAGACCCCUGGGGAGCUUGGAGGUGGGACAGGCUGCUCAGGAAGCAAUGAGAAGUGGCUGUGGAGGCCUUGGGUGGUGGACAGGCAGGGAAUCUGGGAGGAUCGUAGAAGGGGGGCUGGGGCAGCCUUAAGGCCCCUGUGUGCCAGGCUGUGAGGUCUGGGUUUGUCCUGGAAGCAGUGGGGAGCCAUGGAGGGCUUUAGAGUGGAGGGAGGUCAUGGGAGAGAUGCCGGCUGCGUCCUGCUUGUCCAGCUGGGGCCAGAGGGCCCCCCCCAGGGGCAUUCAGGAGCUGCUCAGCAGAGCAAGUAGGCAGUCACCAUUGAAGGGCGGGAGCUGUGCCCUGGUCCUCUGUCACCUCAGCCAUCCUGGGCACAGGGUGCAGAGCCUGGAACCCUGGUCCAAGCCCCUCUUAUUUCCUGUGCGUCCUCAGACACACUGUUUGACUUCUCUGUGCUACGGUUUCCUUCUCUCCCAACAGUUUUGCCCUGAGGGUUAGCUGAGCAGCUACUUGCAGUGGUGGCUGGUGAAGGGGUUUGGGGGAGGAGGGCGAGGUCUGCUUCUGGGCAGCAGCAAAGAGUGUGGAAUCACCCGUGUCACACUUGGAAGCCCCUCCACACCCCGGCUUCUGUGAAGUGGGGGCGGUGAUGGCAGCCGCCUCCCUGAGCAGGCUGCGAGAACAGGGCCUGUGUGGGUGGCCUCGGUGGCUGCCCAGCCUGGGCCCCCGCCCUCUCCUCUUAGGCGCUGCAUGCUGGCCUGGACGUACCGCUGGGCUUAGCCCCACCUAGGGAUACCCCAGGCCUCCCUGGCCUGGACCCCAGUGGCCUAGGCCAGGCUGUGCCCUGCUCACUGCCCCGUGGGCCCACCCCUGCCCUGAGCUGUGCACCCUGCCUGGGAGGCAGGAAACCUGGGCAGGAGCCCUGCUCUGCUCUGUUGCAGCCAAACACUG
rnacentral:lncRNA from 1 species